rnacentral:lncRNA from 1 species
AGAUCUACCGACACGGGUGGAGCUGAUGUCUGGUUUCGAACAUCAUCGGUGGCGGUUCGUGUCUGAUUACUCGAUCCUGUCGGAGACUUAUCUGGAAGCAGAGGUUGAGAAGCUGGGUUGGUUCCGUUUACGACCGGAGAUUCAAAGGUUGCGUUUUUAGCAGCCGGAGUUCGUUUUUCCGGCGCCGGUGCUUGUAAAGUAUUGUUUUUGGCAACUGGGUUGGUUCUGUUUCCGACCGGAGAUUCAAAGGUUGGGUUUUUAGCGAUCGGAGUUCGAUUUUCCGGCGCCGGUGCUUGUAAAGUACUGUUUUUGGCAACUGGGUUGGUUCCGUUUAUGGUCGGAGAUCCAAAUGUUGUGUUUUUAGCAACCGGAGUUCGAUUUUCCGGCGCCGGUGAUUG